rnacentral:tRNA from 1 species
GGGCUUGUAAUCUAGUCUGGAUACACUUUUCAUUUUAGAAAGAUAUUGCCAGAAAGGGUACCCGGCUUCGGACUGGGAUGUCGCAGGUUCGAAUCCUGCCUAGCCCA